ACGUAGGGUGCGAGCGUUAAUCGGAAUUACUGGGCGUAAAGCGUGCGCAGGCGGUUCGCUAAGACAGGUGUGAAAUCCCCGGGCUUAACCUGGGAACUGCGUUUGUGACUGCGAGACUUGAGUGCGGCAGAGGGGGGUGGAAUUCCACGUGUAGCAGUGAAAUGCGUAGAGAUGUGGAGGAACACCGAUGGCGAAGGCAGCCCCCUGGGUCGUACCUGACGCUAAGACGCGACAGCACGGGGAGCGAACGG
rnacentral:rRNA from 1 species